rfam:Nosema bombycis CQ1 unplaced genomic scaffold NBO_367, whole genome shotgun sequence.
UCGGUUUUACUUUUCAGAAUCUUUUGUUUAGUUAACCACGAUAAUACAUAGAAAGCUAUGUCAAAAUUACGACUAGGAUGAGGAAGUAAGACAACUAUGGGGAUGAAAUAGAGUUUAUCUCAUUGAUGAUCCAAGUACUUGAGGGUACUCUUAUAGUUGUUGUCUGACUAGU